rnacentral:rRNA from 1 species
AGCCUACGGGGGGCAGCAGUCGAGAAUAUUGCGCAAUGGAGGAAACUCUGACGCAGUGACGCCGCGUAUAGGAAGAAGGUUUUCGGAUUGUAAACUAUUGUCGAUAGGGAAGAAAAAAGACUGUACCUAUCAAGAAAGCUCCGGCUAACUACGUGCCAGCAGCCGCGGUAAUACGUAGGGGGCAAGCGUUAUCCGGAUUCACUGGGCGUAAAGGGAGCGCAGGCGGCAUGGCAAGUCUGAUGUGAAAACCCGGGGCCCAACCCCGGGAGUGCAUUGGAAACUGCCAGGCUGGAGUGUCGGAGGGG